rnacentral:rRNA from 1 species
GGGAGGUGGGUGGCCGCGGCCGCGGUGCGAGGGGGGGGGCGGGCGUGGUCCGGGGUGACUGGGCGUACAGGGCGGGCAGGCGGCGGCGCGCGCCCGGGGGGAAAGGGCGCGGCUCAACCGGGACAGGGCCUGGGGGACGGCGCCGCUGGAGGGCGGCAGAGGCCGGUGGAAUUCCCGGUGUAGUGGUGAAAUGCGUAGAGAUCGGGAGGAACACCCGUGGCGAAGGCGGCCGGCUGGGCCGACCCUGACGCUGAGGCGCGAAGGCCAGGGGAGCGAACGGGAUUAGAUACCCGGGUCGUC